GGGGCAGGCAAGUCUGAGUGUCCAGAGGGCAGACCUUUAACUCUUAGUUUCCUGCCUUGGGAGAAGGCACAGGGCUAAAGUGGUUUCCAGAACGUGUCUGUUGUGGUGUGAACACCAAGGAGCAGUGGACAAGCUUCCCAGGCUCAAGGUCAGAAGGUCUGGACUGGAGUCCUGCCUCUGCUACUUGGUGAAUAUGUGAUUUGGGGCAGGUUGCUUAAUCCCCGAAGCCUCAACGUGUUCAUCUAGAAAUGAAGAUUACAGGCGUGUGCCACCGCACCCAGCCGAGAUUAUUUACUUCUUGUGUGUUCUUGCCAUCUCCAUAGCCUCCUUUGCUUUCAAAUGCCCACUUGGGCUGGGCCUUUGGAAAAUAGAUUUAACCCUUGUUUAUUGGAAGGAUAUUCACACAGUAGGCCAGUUAUACACUUUGUGGCAGUCGUUACCUCUUCUGUGAGGUCUUUCUGUGCAGAUUUAGUGGCACCUCCUCCAUGCUGCCUGGGCUUCUACUUGCUUCUCAUCACUUUGUCUCAUAACUC
rnacentral:lncRNA from 10 species